GUUUAUAGAUGUCAUCGCAGAGGCAGAUGGGUGGAUAGAAAUAAGAAGAAGCCUUCGGAAGUGCCCAACCCUGCAACACUCCUGAUGAAAGUCCAUCUCUUGGGGGAGGCUUUUCCCUCUGCUGUCCUUGAGCCUUAGGAGCUGGGGGGACAUGUUCCCCUCCAGAAGGAGGUGGAGAUGGGGAGGGGAUGGGGGGAGCUGAGAGAAAAGCUUCUAGUCACGCUGCAGCCACAGUUGUGAGCAGCUGGGGAGGGAGUGGCCCCUCCUCCAUUCACGUCUUUCUAGGACCCUCAGGGGCGCCUUUGCAACGACUGACAAUGACACUGGAAGCCCCAGGAAGGGAUCGCUAAAGCAUCACAGCAGCCACAGCCACAAUCGGGCCUGGGUUCUGAGGAAGGACUGUUUCUCCGACAGCACCUUGCCGUCUUCUUUUAGGAGAGAGCAGGAGAGGGACUCGUGCACGUGCUCAUUUCAGAUCUUUUGCUGGAGGAGGGGUCAUCAGCUGCGCUUGCUGCAGUGGCUUCCCGUCCACCAGCUCCUCCUACUCCCCAGGAAUUACUUCUGCAGUUCACUCUUGUCAAUGGAGGGUUCGAUUCAUAAUCAGCUGGAUGCCACUGUGUGUGUGAGGAUAUGUAUGGAUGUCUUUCUAACGGAAGCCAGUGAAAACCCUUCCAACACAAGGAAGCUGUCACGGCAGUGGGUCCGAGAAGGAUUUCAGAUGAAGGAUGCAGGGAAUGGACCGGCUUUUCUGUGGCUCCCCUUCUCUUUGGAAGCCGGCAUCCAGGUAGGUGAAGAGCGGACCUGCCUGGGCAUCUCAUCCAGCUCCUCUAAUGAGGCCUGAGGAUGCCAGCCUGUGGUGCCCCCGUUGAUGGUGGUCACUUGUCCAAGGGUCCUGGUGCUCCCUGUUGUAGAUGUUGAUGAUGUCACAUGAACAGCAUCUACUUGCUGAUGAGGUGUGGCCCUAGAGCCGGGCCUGCAGGACUCUUCUAAAGGGGCGCAAAGCAGUGACAAACAAACUUGGAAGCUGGAAGAGGGGCCUCUAAUGAAGUCAGGCUGGAAAUGGAGAGGAGAGGACGGGAUGUCCUGCAGAGCCGUCCCAACAGCUGAGCUUCUGGAUAAGCCCGAUGCAUUUCUAAAGGGAGCCAAAGGCCAUUGCAUAAUCGUUCGUGUGGGCACUAAGAUAGAACCCAAGACUGGAGCAAGUUCUCGUUUCUCUGAUGCUCACUCAGCAAUUUCUGCAGUGAGGUUUGCAGACCACUAUGCCAGCGUCCUUCCUGUGAGUGUGUUUCUUCUUGGUGCAUUUUCCCUCUCGCAGUGGUAACUGGAAGUUGUUAAAGCAGCCUCUGAAAUACUAGCUGUCUGGUACCGACACAUGUCAUGAUCCACCAAAAAUAUUUCCAACUCAUUUUUAACUUAAAAUGUAUACAUUUGUUCAUCAGACUAAGCUUAUCCAUUCAAAUCAUUUCUCAUGGUGUUCCUUUGAUCUCUCAGUUACACAGAGAUCGGUGUUGAUUGUGGAAUUGUUGGUUUCCUUGUUGUAAGUCUGCCAAACUUUAUAUAAUUAGAAGUCAUGUUAUUAGGUGUCUACACAUUAAAAAAAUUAUAUCUUAAAAAUAUGUGUCUAUAAAUUAUACAUAUAUAAUUCAUUUUCAAUAAAUUCAAAUAUUGUGACUUACUAAGAAUAUUAGGGGUCUUGAGUGAUCCCCCCCACCUCCUGUAUUCAAUGUGUG
rnacentral:lncRNA from 9 species